UCCCAGCCCCAAAAUCAUCCCAGCCAUCUAAAUUUACCUGACCCACCUUAUCCCAAUAUCCGGACCAAAUACCCUUUCUCAUCUUCAACAAACUACAAAGAAAUCCAUAAUCUCCUGUGCAACAGAGACUUCAACGAAUAUACAUGGAGCGGACGACGACAAGUGCGUGGGCAUCAACGCGGAAACUCCAUCCGUGAUUCCAAUGAUUUCAAACGAUUAAGUGCGCGAUGAAGACGUUCACAUCCUUUGGCGCAUGACUCACGACCAGCGUCGCCUUUUGUGCGUACAGAAGGGCACCUGCAUUUUUCUAUCGAGCAAGUCACGCGGCUCCGCCCUUGGCAACGGGAGAUCACACCACCUAGCACCCCAAGGAUAAGCAAUCGAUCCUAGCCGCCCACCCCCUUUGCUCUUCUGGAAUGAGUCAAAUUCUUAAAAGAAAAGAGUGAUUCCCUUAAUAGUGAGUUUUUCUCUUUUCAUAUUUUGAAUUCGUUUCCCCCCUUUGGAGAACCCUAAUUCUGGGCAUAUAUAUUCUCUUUUUCUUCACACAAAGGAGGGGGAUUUUGUUUGGGGGAAAAUUCUAGUAGGAAAUUUUCACUAAUGCAAAGAAAGCUUGAGAGAAAUAAUUUAGAAUACACUUAAGUAUACUUUGUGAACAUAGAAGAAACUAUUUUAGGGUUUAAGUUCAAACUUCCGUCGAAAUCUUCGCUUAUUGUUCGCGUGCAAGUCUUCUCGUGGUAAAGUUUGACUCCUGCUCGCCCAGUCCCGGUCUUGCUUCCCUGAAGAAGGUGAGGAGGCGAGCGAGAGAUUGGAGGAGAGUGGCGAGCGAGAUAUUUGGGAGAGAGGCGCCUAACAAUUUUUUGCAAACGUUUGCUAUGGAGCACAAUUAACUCAAAUCCUAGCUACUCCAUUUAUUUUAGGUUAUUAGUUUGCUAUUAUAUACAAUUUUCUCUUGAUUUUAUUAUGUGGGCCUAUACUAAUUUUACUCUUGUUUUCUCUUCUUUAUGUUAAAUUUGUCUGGGUCUUAUGGACCCCAUCCUCACAUUUUCAUUUGGACCAUGGAGGACCCACUUGUGCUCUUCCGAGUCAACUAGUCAUUAAAUCGACGGACAGGUCCCGAAGUUUAAGGAAUUGAAGAAAGUCGAAGAAGUUAGAUUAGAAGACCCCUUUAUUUUCGUAUGUUGUAUUUUUAUUAUGUCAUGGGCCUAAGCCCUUGCCGCUUUGUACUAUUAUCUGAUCAUUUUAGGACAGGUACAAGUAGAGUGGGCCUAAGGCCCACAAACAAAGGGUCCAAAUACCGAUUCAGGCGGACAAAAAAUCCAGAUUUGGACCCAA